rnacentral:lncRNA from 1 species
GAGACAAAUGGUUUAUAUACAAAUUCCAGUGUGUAAGACUAGUUAAUGAAUCACUCUUAAAAUUCUUUUAAAAACAACCAGCUUUUUUUUUUUUUUUUUUUAAGUUGAUACCUACACAACUGCCUAUGAUGGCUUUGGCAUGUCAAUUAGAGAUAAUUUUGAAACUAGAAGCUAAUUUAAAAACCUUUAAAAUGAUUUGGUUUAUUCAGAACCUAAAAGAUAAUUAUCUUCAGUUGAUCUAUCCAUAAACUUCCAUGUUAAAAGAAUAAUGAAUAAUUGUUUUAUAAGAAUAAAAAAAACCAAACAAUCUGGAAAAAAGGAUGUUUAUACUUUCAUAUUGGGUCAGAAACUUGCUAGAAGAGUUACUGAAUUGAAAAAGGUUUCUAUCUUUCAUAACCAUGAAGAUUCUCAAACUAAGAUUGCUUUAAAGGUAAAAGAACAAUUAUGACUGCAUAUGGGUCAAAGCUGAAAAGAAUGAUUAAAAAAACGUGAUUGACUUGAUUUUAUUUUUAAAAAUUAGUGAAAAUUUCAUCAGAAUAUGAGUAAGAAAGUGCUCAUUUGACUUUCCUUGUGGUAGCUUGAAGAGGCAGUAUCCCUCUGAUGUGGUACAGACAAUCUAGUAUAUGCUCAGAGUUCUGGAUAGUGAGUCCUUGUGCCUGGAUCUAGCCCAGGGGACAUGAGAACAAGCUCUUUGACUUUGGUAGAAGUCAUUUCACUUGUCUGGGUAUCAGUUUCCUCAUUUAUACAAUGAAGGGAUUAAAUGAGAUGAAAUGUGUCAAACGCAUGCCUGGCAUGAACACCUGGGAAACAUUAACAAAACAAAUUCCACAGAACCUAAAUAAGAUGAUCUUUAAGGUAGUCUAGUCUGGAAGCAAGCUUUAGAACUUUACCAAAGUCAAUUAACUUCUGUGCACUUCAGUUCCCUCAUCUUUCUUUAACCAUUGGUAGUUGAGCUCCAAUACCUCUAUGGUCACUUCCAGCUCUAAAUCCUAUGAUGUCAGUGACAUUUUUGGCCUCUGUCUCAAGAAGGCCCGUCAUUUCCAACAAGGUAUAAAAUAUCCUUCAUUUGAGAUCUGGAUUAAUAUCAUUCAAAAAGUGCCAUAAACUCUCAGGAUGGUGCAUAUGAUUCAAUUAAAAUCCAACAGAUGUGUGGUGGACAGGGAGCUGGUCUUGGUACUUUAGUACCUUUGGUACAUUAGUUAUGAGACCCUGGGCAAGUCACAGAGUCUCUCAGGCCUGGUCAGGAAAGUGGUCAAGUAUCCCACACAGAGCUUCUUAUAUUGAUAGCAUCAUAGAUAUGGCCCAAUUAAAAAUAAAUUUAAAAUGUAUAAAUGUGAAAUUAAGUACCUCAUUUCAUAUUUUAUAUGAAACUUCAUUCUAAGUGUUAAAAACCCUAAUCUAAGGGUAAACAGAAGCUCCUUAAAGAAAGGGGAGGCAGGUUUCUGUGUGAGGUAGUGAAUUCUCCAUUAAUGGAAGUACUCAAGGUGAUAUGAAGGAAAAGACAGCAAUAAGAUAUUUUUAAAAUGAUUUGGGGCUAUAAGCAGAUGCAAUUUUUUUAUUUUAUCAGUUCUCUUUAAAUGAUGAUAUGAAAAUUGCCAAGUGAAGAAUCAAACUUUUUGGAUCUAACUAACUUCUCAGACUAUUUGGAGCACUGAACUAAUUAAAUGAACAGCUUGAUUUCCUCCCUCUUAUAAGAUAUUCUAACUGCAAAUACCAACUUUAUAUCUCAGAACCUUAACUUGUGGAAAGAAGAUAAACUGAAAUUAUUAACAAAAGGCGUCUCUAUUAUUUGGGUGAAAUGUGGCUCUCGUGAUAUCUUUCUUGGUGCCUACCUUAAAAAAGAAGACUUUUUUCUUUUUUUUUUUUAAACUCAGUGGAAACGCUUAAGAUGCCUCAGAUGUUCUGUUUUUCUUGCAGUGGGUCCAGUACAAAGUAUAUGAAUUACUGUUCCAGUACUAUUCAAAAUUCAUAAA